rnacentral:rRNA from 1 species
UACGUAGGGUGCAAGCGUUGUCCGGAAUUAUUGGGCGUAAAGAGCUCGUAGGCGGUUCGUCGCGUCGGCUGUGAAAUCCCGAGGCUCAACCUCGGGUCUGCAGUCGAUACGGGCGGACUGGAGUUCGGCAGGGGAGACUGGAAUUCCUGGUGUAGCGGUGAAAUGCGCAGAUAUCAGGAGGAACACCGGUGGCGAAGGCGGGUCUCUGGGCCGAUACUGACGCUGAGGAGCGAAAGCGUGGGAGCGAACAGG